rnacentral:lncRNA from 1 species
AUAAGGCAGGUCACAGCCUGGGAUCAGACAGGGUCAGGUGGGAUGGAUCCUGGAGAGGUGGUCUUCAUGCCAUCCACCGAGGACCUGGAGCAUCCUGGAGUCAUAGGAGUCUGACCUGAGGCUAAGCAGGACCCUGGGAAUGCUCUCACCUGCGUGGCCCCUGAAGAAACCAAGAUCCCAAAAGCCACGAGCCAUGCAGGACCUCAAGAGCUUGUCUGUCAAGUAGAAGGAGAGUGCCAUCUGUCACGGUAGGCUGGCUUUGAGAGGGACAAUCCUCAGGCCAUGUGAGUGGGAUAGGGUCUCCGGCAUACCCAAGCACGAGAACAGACAUAGCAUGUCAGAUUCUGAUGGGGUGGGGCGGGGGGUGGUCAUAUGAUCCUAUCCAGAUCCAACACUGUUAUCAUCCUUAGAUAUGGGUUCAAAUCUUGGCUCUCACUAUCUAUAAGAUCUUUGAACCUCAGUUGACUAAUUUAUAAAAUGUGACUCAUAAUGACACUUAGUAGGUACUCAAUAAAUUCAUUAAUUCAUUCAGCCAGUCAGUCAAGAAACAUUUACUGACUGCUUACUUAUGUGCUGUUGUGGGCACCAGGAACACAACAGCUGACAAAACAAAGUUCCUGCUUUCACAUUCUUGAGGCAGAAUAUAGACAACAGACAAAUAAGUAUAUCACAUUUUAGAUAGCAAUAAAUGCUGUAAAGGAAUGAAAGAGGGGAUGGAGUGACAGGGUAGAAAGUGAUGCUUUAGAUUGGAUGGUCAUGGAAGGCGACCCUGCAUAAGGUGACAUUUGAAUAGAGACUCAAGAACAUGGAGGGAGUGAGCCCAGCAGAUAAUAACUGGGGAAGAGUCUUCCAGGCAGGGGAACAGUAAGUGCAAAGGUCCCGAGAGUGGAAGAUCACUUAGAAGAGCAAUGAGGAGUGAGACUGGAGAUAAGGUAUAGGAAACCAAGAUUAGAUCAUGUAGGGCCUCUUAGGCCAUGGAAAAGAUGUUGGCUUUUCAUACUGAGUGAUGUGGGAAGCUAUUAGCAGGUUAUGAGCAGG